rnacentral:misc_RNA from 1 species
CUUUCAUUGCUAAAAGGAAAGCACUGAAAAAAAAGAAGCAAUAUGUGAUUGGUGUGUUUAGCUAUUACCUUGCAAUAAACAAACCAGUAACGCACCAUUAAUUGCCAAACAGGAAGAAAAAAAAAAAUCAUCAAACAAGCUUGGAAUUACUUAAGGAUGAGAAAUAGAUAAAGCAAUUUAAAGGACAAGAAAAGGAUGAAACAAAUGGGAAGCCAAAUGAAAUAGGGAGGAAAUUGAGGAUGUGCUAAAGUUUCUGUCUGGAAUAUAGAGAAGGGAAAGUAGAAAUGAGAGAAAUGGAAGGACACAAGGAGC